UCAUACUGCAUUUUAUUACAUUAUGUAUGACUACAUAAGUUAUUACAUGAGACUACCAUAUGGCAGUCAGUUACACACGUCCAUUGUUGGAAAACAAAUGCUUACGUCAUUAAAAGAAAAAAGUGCUUACAUAUAGUAUUACUUGUUUAAUGCAAACUUGCCCAAAAGUAGGCAGACAUUAACACAUGAUAAUGAAUAUACAGAUUAGAGAGAUGGAAUAGCAUAACCAACAAUGAGUGUUAUGAAAACAUAUCACACCAAUGUAGUGAUACUACGGCUUUAAGGUAAUAAAAUGAGGUUGGGAAAUUCUUACAACUAAUUUUUUAGCAAAAUUAAUUCAAUGUAAGUAUUACAGUACAUAAGGCUCUAAUCUACAUAAGGCUACACAGCGCCGGCUUUAGGGUGGGGCGACCCGAGCGUCGCCCAGGGCGCCGGGGCCCAAGGGGCGCCACGUACUAAACGCAUGAAAAAAAAAUUACAAUUUAGAAACACCUAUUUCGCGAAACUAAAAUAUUAUUCAGUCUCAUUCAACAUACGUCGCUAAUCUCACGGAUGCGCGAUGAAUUCGGGGUAGCAGAAGAGAAAUCAUGCUGAAUGCAAUCUUCGUAUUGGCUGCAACCAUCCAUGCUUGACGUGGGCUAGCACGCGCUCUACCAAAGCGCCUCUCUUAUUUGUUUCAAGAACUGCAACAAGGAAGAGCCCAUGCAGCCGCACCAUCUCUCGUUCACAACAGAAACUACCGGUCGCUCCAAAUAAAAGAAAAUACAGACUGUGAAAUAUACAUUACAUUAUGAUUUAAUUAUACGAAUAUAUUUAUAUCGAAUAUUUGUGACUUAAUGACUCAUGUACAUUAAUUAAUAGAUCAUGCAUUGCGUGCACUGCAUUCAUAGAGAAUUCUCCCCUAACGUACUGAAAUAAUACAGUGCCACACAAUGUUUGUUAGACUGCAUAUGUUGGCAGGGCUAUGAUUUGCACCCGCAUGUCAGUAAUUGUCAGUAUGAGUCUGAGGCAGCGGUCAUGUUUUCGUGGCUGAAUAAUUGUGAGUGAAACGAGUGUCGUGACUGUGUCAACAUUUUAAUUUUCUGGUAAGUGCGAAAAACAUUUUUAUCUUUCAGUUCAGGUUUUUUUCUAGUUACGUCUACUGAUAGGUGAAUUUCUUUAUUUGUUAUAGAUCGAAUAUUGUGGUCGCGAAAUAGAGCAGUGUCCAAGCAAUAAUUUGUCAAAUUAUUAAAUCGUGCCAGAAGAGAAGGAAAUGAUUAAAAAAAGCUUUCUGGUUCAGAAAAUCGGAAAAGAAAAGCUGAAAAAAAAAAGUUCUUGAAGAAACUAAAAUGCAUAUGAAUAUUUAUAAGUACCUUACAGGAAAUUCUAAGGCAAAUACUUCAGAUAUUGAAUCAAAAGUCCAUGUAUCAGCAAAUAUUUCUUUAGACUGUGAACAAUUAUACACAAAAAAUAUACAAUUACCUAUUGGAGGUGAUCAAAUUGACCAGCGCAGUACAUCUUUGCAUGAAUCCUCUGAUAUUUCUCCAAGUCAAAAUCAACACAUGACAUCUGUGGUCGAUGAAAGUAUCAACGUUCUUGCAAUAAAAAAAUACAAUGUUUCUGAUGUAGGUACGUGGCCAAAAGUACUUAAUGCUAGAGAUAUAGAUCGCAUUAUAAUAUGUGGACCCUCACAAGUAUGUCUAAAUAACUUUCCAAAAGAUGAAAGUGGGCGUAAUUUCUCUUCAACUCAUUACACAAGAAAACUAUCAGACGACAGUGGCUACUUUAUUCUGUAUCAAACGACAGUGUCUUUUGCUUUUGUUGUCGACUGUUUGAUUUAAAGUCAACUACUAAUUUGACUACCACUGUGGGGUUCAGAAAUUGGAAACAUUUAAGUGAAGCUCUGAAACUGCAUGAAAAUAGUCCUAACCACAAAAAAGCAUUUACUCAAUGGACUGAAGCUGAAAUCAGGUUUAAAGCUGGCUUAACUAUUGACAAGGAAGAACAAAAGCUAACUUCUAAAGAAAGUUUACGAUGGAGCAAUGUGCUUCAAAGAUUGAUGCACAUUACUUUGUAUUUGGCUGAAAAUAAUAUGGCAUUCAGAGGGUUAUCAGAUAAAUUAUUUACCCCAAAUAAUGGAACAUUCUUAGGUCUUGUACAGUUAUUGGCAAAGUUUGAUCCAAUCAUGGAAGAGCACGUCAGACUGGCACUGAACGGUGAUUUGGCUGACCAAUAUUGCGGCAAAAAUAUACAAAAUGAAUUAAUAGAACUCAUGGCAUCACAUUUUAUGUCUACAAUCGUAUCCCGCAUAAAGGACUCAAAGUAUUAUGCAAUCAUAGCUGACUGUACUCCAGAUAUAAGCCACAAAGAACAACUUUCAAUAACUUUAAGAUGCGCCGACAUAAGAGAGGAUGGCGUUAGUUCAUCUCAUUUCUGCAAAUAGAUGAUACAACCGGUGAAGGUCUCACAGAAAACAUUUUAAAACAUUGAGUGAUCUUGCCCUUAACAUUAAUGACUGCAGAGGACAGGGCUACGAUAACGGCGCGAACAUGAAGGGGAAAAAUAAAGGCGUCCAGAACAGAAUUAAGAAGUUAAAUCCACUAGCUGUUUUGGUGCCAUGUGGAUGCCAUAGUUAUAAUUUGGUAUUGUGUGAUGCGGCAAAAUCAUCAGUAAAAUCCAUGACACUGUUCGGAACGUUACAAAAAAUGUUUAAUCUAUUUGCUGGAUCGGUAAAUAGAUGGAAAAUUUUGACCGAUCAUUUGAAGAUAUACACUCUGAAAAAUGUAAGUGACACACGCUGGGAAGCUCGAAUUGAUAGCGUCAAAGCGGUUCGUUAUCAAUUAUGCGAAAUGCAUGACGCUUUGGUUUUCUUGGCCGAUGCUACUGAACAAAUCAAUGCUGCGUUGUCACAUGAAGCGACAACACUAGGAGGACAAUUAAAAGACUUCAGCUUCAUUGUUUCUCUUGUGACAUGAUAUGAUGUUCUGUUUCAAAUUCACGUUGUGAGUAAAGCAAAUCAGUCACCCACAAUCAACUUUGUAGAGUUUAUGGGAAUCCUUGACAAAUGUUGCUCUUAUUUGGAAACAUAUAGACAAACAGGUUUCGAACUAGCUAUUGUAACAGCAACUGAACUGGCUUCGGAUCUUGAUACGCAGCCAUUAUUUAAACCACAAAUGCGAUUAAGAUGUAUUAAACGCAGGCCGGGUGACGAGGCUGUUGAUGAUCAAAUAACUGACCCAAAAAAGAAGUUUAAAGUAGAGUUUUUCAAUGCACUGUUGGACACCGUGCACAUAUCCAUGAAAGAAAGAUUUGAACAGAUGCAAGAAUUUUCUGCGACGUGGAGUUUCUUGUUUGACAUUAAAAAAAAAAAAAUCAAAAUAAAGAAGAACUAAUACAAUGCUGUUCUAAAUUACAAGAAAAGUUAACUGUCAACAUGAAGUCAGAUAUUGAUGGAAAUUUGCUGUGCGACGAAAUUUUAGACCUGCAACACUAUCUUGAAGACAGCCAGGCAACGCCUAUUGAAGCCUUAAACUUAAUAAAAAAGCAUAAUCUUCAAGAGUUAUAUCCCAACAUCUGGAUAACGUUACGUAUUUUGCUAACAAUACCAGUGACUGUCGCAAGCGGUGAACGCAGUUUUUCCAAACUGAAGUUGAUAAAAACAUACUUGCGGUCUACAAUGUCUCAAACAAGACUAACCAGUUUGGCCUCACUGUCCAUUGAAAAUGAAGUUGCAGACUUUGCUAAUCUGAUCAGAACUUUGCCGGCAGAAAAGCAAGAAAAGUAAAAUUUUAGUUGUUUAUAAUUGUUUUUCAUUAGGCAUAAUAUGUUUUGUGUUCAGAUGACUGACAGAAAAUAUAGGUUUAUGGCUUCAGUUAUAUUAAAUUCAAUAAAAAUAUGGUACCCAAUUCAAAAUUAGUGUUUUUUCAUUAUACAUAUUACCUCCUAUAUAUAAAAAUCAAUUAUUGUGUGUUAGUCUCACCAAAACAAAGAAAUGGCUUGACCAAUUUGAAUAAUUUUUGUUUUGUUUUGUUCGCUUUAGUGCAGGGGGUGCUUCAGAAAAGAAAAGAAAUAUUUGUGAUAUACGAGCCUGUUUCAACCACAUUUUACGCAUCUUUUCUUUGUUUGGAACACGCAAAAACAAUUUCUGGAGUUUUGUAGAUGUACAGUGCAGUACUAUGCAAUAUUUUUAGAUAAUUUCCCAAAACGUGAAUGCCCAAAUAAUAUAACACUGCUAUACUGACUGUUACAGCAGCAUGCUGGACUGACGUCACAGGCUACACAAGACUCACAUGAAGCGUCUUAGCGGGCUUUCAGAUUAUUUGGAUUUCAUUUCCAUUUAAAAAAAUAAAAUACUCAAAUUUACGAUGGAAAAAAACCAUGUUAUGAUCAUAAGAUGACGCCAUUAACCACUUAAGACAAUUUCUAGAAAACAGUCAAAUACCAUGUUGCAAAGCACUGCCAGGUUUGCUAUUUACACAAUAAAGGGCGCCAACUGGACGACUCGCCCAGGGCACCUGGAUGGCUAAGGCCGGCCCUGAGGCUACAUUGGGAUACCUAACUUAUGACUGGAUAUGCAUUUUAAAGAAUGUAAUGGUAUGGUUAUAGAAUUUCAACAUACAAGGGAAUGAAAAAUACAAACACUAUUGCAAUUACUUGAUUGUAUGCCACCCACAAUUGUGGGCAGAUAAUUUCUUUGGUAUGGACCUGCAGUAACAGACAACACACAAAAAUCAAUAUUUGAUGAAAAACUCUCACCUAACUUAAUAUUUUGUUGUAUCACAUCAUCCUACGUAUGAACAAAUGGCAGAAGUUCCCAAACUAGAUGUAAAGGAAAGUUUGUGCUUUCAAGCUCCAACAGUCUAUGCGCAACAAUAUCUGUCGCUCAUCUGUUCGCCAAUAAAUAUCCAAGAGACAACAACAGUGAAAGCCUUUGUAAAUACUGUCCUUGGAGAAAAAAACAAAAUCUCCUUUAGGAACUAGAAAUGUAAUUUACAACAGUAUCGAAUAAUAAAAUAUCCUUAAUGAUCUGACUGAACUCCUUAAGUGAGCUUCUCUUUAGAACUUUCAAAGAUAUACUUCACACAUUUUACAGUAACUCUGUCAUUACACUAGAGUACAGGUAACUUACAUUAAUAGUAUGCAAUUCCACAACAGUUGAAAAUUUAUACAACUCUUAAUUCAUACUCCUCUGUUUGCAUCAUUCAUAUUUAACAUUUGGAUAAAAUACCUGCCCACUUAGACAAUCCUGUACUGAUGUUAAUGUGUUAAUUGAAACAUUCAUUUGCGAUCAAUAAUAAAUCUACAGCUUGAGAGCUGUACUCUACACAGUAAGUGUAAAAUAAUAAGCAAGAUUUAAAUAUCAGUACAUAAUUUCUACAGUUGAAUAAGAUACAAGUCCUAAAUGCGACUGUACAAUGUUUAUACAAGUUGCUUCACACUGUAAGUUAGCAUUAGCUGCUAUUAUAUGAGUAUUUGCACACUCUUAUCACCAUAUUUCACUAAUUAUCAUGUUAAAGAGCGACCAAAAUUACAUUCAUUCUGCAUCAUAGGUGAAAGAGAGAACUACACCAGAAGUAAGUCAGUAGAAACCACCAUAAAAGAAAGUUUGUGUUAAAUGUACUACCACUGAAGGUGAGCCAGAGAGAGAGAGAGAGAGAGAGAGAGAGAGAGAGAGAGAGAGAGAGAGAAAUCAGUAUGUUACUGUUAAUAAAAUUAAAAAAAUGGCAGUAUCAAUGAGUGGUUUCAGUAUAUGUUGUUUCAUUUCAUUCUAUACACACAGUGCUUUGCCUUUCCAUUAUUAAUAAAAACAAUCAUUCCAAUACAAACACUUAAUACAUGAAAGAUUACUGAAUUAUCAGCAUAUUAACCUAAAACAUUGCAUUUAAACAAACGAAAAUCAGUGCAUCCCCUACACGAGUUGGAUAUUGUGUGGAUUCUUUGCAGUAGUAGUGUUGUCACAAAACAGAGAUGUUGAAAUCACAAAUUACCUAUGUAUAUAACAUUAUUCAGUUAAACAUACUACAAGGCCCAUCCAAAAUGCACAAAAAAUGGUAGCAGUGUAGCUGAAGUACGCUUUAAAAUAACAAACAUGCUGAGUAUAUCUAAAGAGAAAAUAGAUGAAGUUUUUGGCGUUAUACCUCUUCAUAUAACUAAAAAUGUAUUUUUUCACUUCAAAAAAACUGCCUGUGAUCACAAAUUGUUUUUUCUUCACAUUGUCUUUUGAUGUCUUGCCCCACCACUACAUGAUCACUCUGGCUGAUAGUACAAUAAACACUUAUUACACAGAAUGAGGACUAGUAACUACAAAAUAUCCCUCUUGAUGGAAGCACAUGAUGAUACAUAUGUUUGUAUUGCCUCACAUAGAGAAUGGCCUAGCAAAUUCUUUUGUAAAGUGUUCAGUGCACAGACAACAAUCCACCUCACACCUUGCUCUAGGAGUAGUGGCACGAGGUGGGCGGUUGUCUCUCUCGUUACACGACAUGUCUCGCACUCCUCUGAUGAUCCAGUCUGCCACCAAGACAGAUUUUGGUUCCUGUCACAGACACACCAACUGAGGAACAGGCGCCACCAUUAAAAUUUGCCAUUUGUGUUGCUUAUUAUACAACAUACACAGAGGCAAAUGACCCACAUAACACUGAUUUGCUCCGCAACUGUCAGGAAGGGACUUCCACAUACAUUGUGCUGGUUUCAGGUGGCCAUCUACAACUAUACCUCUUUUAAGCUAACUGCUUCUGGAACAGACAAGAAGUAACAGUCCGUGGAUACUCGGAUAGGAUGCGGCCAAAGUCACGGUGCUCCGUGCAAUUACGAUGCAGACGUGUGCCGGGGAAAUGACAGGUCUACUCAGAGCCACUCGUGAACUGCUCAUGGUAUUUGGGCGUCCUUGCUCUGACGAUGAUGAUGAACAUCUUGCAGACGGCAACAGGAAGAAGUAUGCUGGUUACAGUGUAGGAUCUCUGUUGUUGCUUCCCAGGUGACGUAGCAGUGUCUCCCCCGUAUAUCACAUUCCUUGUCAAACUGAAGAUUCUUGAACAGUGAGGCCAAGUUGCUGGGCCCUAUAUCGGUUUGCUGCUAGCAGGGGACCAGUACUGCCUCCUAUAGUGACAAUAACCACAAUUUCUCCACUAAUAGCCACACCCCACAAAUGAUGAUUAGUGCAGAUGUCUGUGAGAGGUGGCAUACCUAACAUAAUUUGAACAUGUUGCUUCUCUUUUGGGGUGGAACACACUGCUACCUUGCAUACCUUCCACAAUUACUCGACAACAGCAUCCCGUCCAUCCUCAGUUCACAUCCAGCUCCAACGAAAUGACCUUGAUGAUGUCCAGUAGGUGUCUUCAGCACGGCGCACAAUGGCGUUGGGAGUUGUGAAAUGGAAACUGUCAAGUCCCAUAUCCAUGUGCGACCUUUGUAUCACUUGUGACUGGCUGUCUACUAGCCUCCACAGCUGCUUCGGUGGUGAGUUCCUAUGCAAGACUGUCCCUGUAGUACAGGUAGUAACUUGAGACCACACAUUUCCUGUAUCAUCAUUCCAUUUAUGACGGUGACAGCUAGUUGACACCUCCCAACAGUUGGUAUGCUUCCUUAUGGGGAAGUCUUCAGAAGUUUAUUUCUACUUCUUCUAUCCUGCCCAGUACAUUUCAGAUGCCAAGAGAUGUCCACUCCAACUGAAAGAAAUGUAAUUCACUGCCCAAAACUAGAGUUACUUCAAUUACACUGCUAUCUGUGUACAAAAUAUAUCUUAGUGCCUGCAACACAGGCAGUGAAUACAGAAUCUUUUAGAUCACAGAGAAUACACAAAAGUAAUAGCACUGAGCUUCCUUGUCCACUGGGCACCCCUGCUCCAGAAACAUACGGGCAUAGCUAAAACUGCCUACAGGUGCAUUGUGUAAUAACAAAAUAAUAUCAGCAUGAAAGGACAACAAAAAUGAUGAUAAUGACAAUUGUAAACUAGAAUACAAAAGCAGAAACUUCCUUUUUCCAAAACUGUUCCUAUUUUGUAACAGCAAAACAUUACUGCAUAGUGCAUAAGGGAAAAUGAUUAUCAACACCAAACAGAACAUACAGACUGUUCAUUCAGAUAAUGACUAAUGAUAACAGUUGAUACUGUGAACCACAGAUUUAGGAGGCAAAUUCUUUACAGUGGUAAAAAGUGAGUAGGUGGUGUGCUUUUUCUUAGAAACAUGCUUGUCACACACAAAUCAUUGAAAGCCCUUCUUUGCAGUUAUUUUUUGCACAAGUAUCUCCUGUGAACACUCCUGUGUAACUUCAACACUGAAACCAGUGAAAGCUGCUCUAAUGUGCAUUUAUUUAUUGACAAUCAGUUUCAGUCCAGUGAUAGUCACUGCUUCACUCACUGUUUUGGAUACGAGUCUCAUGCGAUAUAAUACAAUAAUACAAUGGACUGUUAAUUUGUAUACUUAGUGACUAAUAGAAAAACAUGUAAACAACAAUGGACGCACGUUCAUGUGACUGAUGUUGCAACUGUGAAUAAUUAUGGAUUAAACGUCAAGGAACAUUCCUUCGCCUGUUGUAAUGAAUGGUAUCCAUUAUGAAGACUGACACUCAACAGACACUGGUUGUCAAUAAAAGAAAUGUUAGAGCAGCUGGUGGUGGUUUUGUGAUGUCAUCUUUUAAACUGCUUACACACAUAUAAAGGAUGGCUCACAAGAAUCCAGUCCUGAGUCAUUAGACAGCUAACCGUCACUUGCCAACUGUCAUCUACAGUUCGAAGCAUUAGCUUUUUAUUAUUUCUUUAUUAUCUGAUUAUUGUGUAUCAAUUAGCUGUAUCUGCUCAGGAUAGGCAACAAUUUGUGUGUAACUGGCAAGCAGCCUGUACUUAGGACUGUUUUCUGUUUGCUGACCUGUAUAAAGCAAUAUCAACAUCAGUAACAAAACAUAAUAAAGAGUUUGAAACAAAUGUAAAUGUACCUUAUCACGCCAUCAGAAAUAUGGAUUAACUUCAUACUGUAAAGACUGGGAUUGUGAAGGAAGGAUUUCAGUAUGCAGGGAUAACAUCACUACAAAGUCCACAGAAUAGCUCACUAGCAAUCAGACAAGAGAUGAUUUCUCAAAGAUGAGCAAAGACCAAUUUGGCACAGAAACAGUAUUGUUGCAUUUGACUACGAUUAUUGCUCUUCAAAUCUGGCACUCAGUGAGCUGAUUAACAUUAGUAAGCUCAUAAUGUAGUGGUGUUGUGUAAUUAACAUAUGUAUGCUGAGCUGACAUGUCCACAUGAUACUCUGUUGUCUUGUAAUACAAAUUAUUCACGUAUAAGAGAAUUAAACAGAGAUUAUACACAGCAAACCCGAAGGUUGCACAGUCAGCUCUGGGCAAGAUGUUUGUACAAAGGAGCAAUACACAACAGCAUAAAUCACUGAACAAUAUUUAAAGACACUUUCACAUGAAAAGUAACAGCACUGUUAUUCAGAAAUGUAAUUUCAAGUAACAUGCUCUCACAGUGCAGGACCUUCUUACAUGCUAUGCAGCACAUUCCAUAUCCAAAACUAUACAUUUACAUAAUCAAAGCUAUACACAUUACAACAUAAAGAAUAACUACUUGUGCUAACAAUAUUGUUCAUAUAAAUUAUAGUUAUUUCAAUAAUACACAUAACUUUAUCAGAUUACAAACUGUUCAAUCUAUGUACAACAAACUGAAUUUGUACAAACCAAGUAAAACAUGCAGAGCAUUACAUCUGUCCGAUAUGUUUGUGACCACUGAACUGAGAGAGAUGCAGGCCAGUUCUUCAUGUCACCCAACACAGGCAAAUUGGCAGUUUUGUAUAAAAUGUGGAAUUCAGUUGAGUAACUACAUUUUGUCAACUGUCUGGUAAAUACACAAACACACACUAGUUGAACUACCAAGACAAAAUAUAGAUAUUAUCUGCAUAUAAAGGUUGCAGGAUGUAAACUCAACAACCCUUUCAAAAAGCUACUUCAAGUGAUUAUAAAAAUACAAAAUAGUUUUCUUUAAAAAAAUGCAAUCAAAGAGCGACUAGUGUUGGCAAUACACUCCACAUUGCACCACAAGUUAUGUACCACUGUUUGUCAAGUACUGAUUAGUAGACACAAAUAUGUUUACAACACAGCUGCUAAACAUUGCUGUUAUCAGUAAAUAUAUCAACAUUUUGACAUCAACUAUUGCAAAACCAAAAAAUGUGAUAAGUGCUUAAUUAAUAAAAUGAUGAUUAAAACUAAGUAUGGUAAUGACACAGCCUUUUCUAAGAAAAGAACUGACUUAUAUGGAAUAAAUAUCAAACAUCCAUAUUCAAAAAGAGGGAGCCGACUCCACAUUUAUCACCAGAACCUCCAACUUAUUUCACAAAUACACUACAUUAAUUGAUUAAUGCAUUUGUUUCUAUUUACAUUUUCUUCGUAUGUAACCAUCAAAAUGAUGGCGGUUGUGAACAUCAGAAAUAAGAAUAGCACAACUAUUACACCAAGAAUGUAUGUUACUUAAAAAGCAAUUUUUGCAUUUUAUAUCUAUUUUAAACUUUUUGUUAUAGCUAAUGAAGAGGUAUUGAAUAGGAUUGGGGAGAAGAGAAGUUUGUGGCAAAACUUGACUAGAAGAAGGGAUCGGUUGGUAGGACAUGUUUUGAGGCAUCAAGGGAUCACAAAUUUAGCAUUGGAGGGCAGUGUGGAGGGUAAAAAUCGUAGAGGGAGACCGAGAGAUGAGUACACUAAGCAGAUUCAGAAGGAUGUAGGUUGUAGUAGGUACUGGGAGAUGAAGCAGCUUGCACAGGAUAGAGUAGCAUGGAGAGCUGCAUCAAACCAGUCUCAGGACUGAAGACAACAACAACAACAACAUUAUAGCUGAUAGGCUACUGGUUCAUAUCACAAGCAGUGUCUUAGAAUUCAUUCAAUGAAUAUAGCCAUUUUUUUAUCAGAAAAGAUUUUACUUUCGUGUUAAAAUUAUUUUCUUGCAUUUUCUUAGGGGCUUGGUAGUUUCUCAAUGGAAUCAAAUCUCUGAUAAGAGAGCUGUCCCAAAGUAGCCACCCCAACAUGGCAGCUACUGUAUUUGAAACAAAUGACCAUGGUAGAGAGUACCAAUGUUAACAAUUUUGUAUUGUUUAAUAUUUCUUUGCUAGGUCCUGACAGUUAAUGUUCUCAGCCAAUUUGUAAACUUGUGUAAAGUUGGUCCUCAUUAUUUGAUACAGUAUUGUCAUUUGAAAGGUCUUAGGGCAACAUCGAAGCUGAGCUGGACUGUACUCUGUGGGUGUCUGUCUCUUUGUUUACAACAGUGACUUAUUGACUGGCACAGUUUACAUGAGGCCAGAUGAGCAUUGAAAGCAGGUCAGCAGUUCUCUGAAUGAGGAUAUUUGGCAAACGGACUGGUCAGCCAAUUCCCCCAGCAAACACCUGUCGAGAACAAGCGGGGCAUGUUGGCAAGACAUACUGCAGCAUUCCCACUGGCACUGACACCUGUACAGCAGUCGUCAACCGCGCUGGUGGAGGAAUGGGAUGACCUACUGUACGAGCUCCUUACCAACCUAGUGGCACAGGAGCACAUACAGCUCAUGUUACCAUCCUUGGUGUUCGCACACCCUAUUAAGAACCACACCAGUCCAGAGGACUAUCAUAAAUCGCAGUGAUUUCAGUCUCGACUUUGAAUGGAAGUGUCACUUCUGUUCAUAUGAUUGUGUAUUUCUCUCAGUUACCUUCUGUACUACACUAGGGCAGUUCUUUCUAUAUAAAGCUCAAGUUUCAUGGAGCCAAAUUACUUUACAGUGACACUUACGGAUGAAAGCAGCUUUCGUUCUUAUGUUUCACACAGCAGUGUACUUUCAAGGCCAGUUUAUUUUCUACCCACUCUGUAUCAACUCUUCUAUACGCAGGUUCACUCAUCGUGACAGUAUGUCUUCACUCGCCCUGGGCACAGCUCACCACGCUUUUUGUGGUACCGCUGCAGCUCCUCCGUCACCAUCUGCCACACCUGCUGCUGUUUCCGCCCGACUGAGCGAAGAGCGCAGUUAUCCUUGAACAAAAACUCCCAUCACCCCGUCAACAGCACAUACAAUAUAGAUAUACGUAGUUAAAAAAUGAGCAAUGCUUUCAAAAGAUUAUGAAUUUAAAACAAUUCAUGAGGAACUAUUGUCUAAGCAGCAGAAAUCAUGUUUUAACUUUUGUAGACUUCAAGAAAGUGUAGAAUUCCACAGACAUACGAAUUCCUGAUCUGUAUCAACCUCCUUAUCUCAGAGCAGCACUUGCAAUCCACUUCCUCAAUUACUUGUUCGAUGUAUUCCAAUCUCUGCCUUCAUACAGUUUUUACCGUCUACAGCUCUCCCCCUGAUAUCCUAACAAAUAUCCUCAAUACACUAGAAUAAUUUGGAACACACCAAAAAUAUUUUGCAAUAAUUAAACAAAUACUGACAGCAACAAAACAGAAAUUGGUAUAAGACAUGAUGAUGGCCUCUGCAUGUCUACAGCUACAUCUAUACUCUGCAAACCACUGUGCAGUUCAUGGUUGCACGUAUGUUCCACUCUACCAGUCAUAAGGACCUUUUCCUGUUCCAUUCAUAUACGGAAUGCCGGAAAAAUGAUUGUGUAAAUACCUUUGUGUAGAAAAGCUAAUUGAACCCGUACGUAUUCACGAAGUUCUGUAUGAUACAAGCCAUGAAGAUUACUUGGAAACGAAGCUGAAAAACUGAGAAGUGAGAGGAAGUGGCCAAGGAAACGGACAUACGAAAUGGUAAGUUGCAUUGUAAUUCGUUGUUAACUUUCUACAUUGACAUUGUUGAAACUCUGUAGCAAAUUUUCGUGACGUGCUCUGUCCUGGUUAAAUGUUUAUCAAAAAAGAUGCCUUGGUUCCUUACAAUAUCAUUACUUACUAGCGUUUAGCCCUCCAUAUCUCCCAGUGAAAACGGAAUAGAUGUAUUUAGCCACGUCUUUGAUAUCAAUAUAGAAUCGAAAUUGUCGUCCAAGUACAUUUCUGAUAUAUAUUAAAAGAAUGACACAAAGUUCUAUGAGCUCUGUUUAAAUUGAUUUGUUGUUUGAUAGUCCUGAUGACUAAUAGGAUUCUGUUUCUGCUGUCUGUAUGCCAAAAUACGGUUUCUGUUAAUUCAUAAUAAUGACAUUUGCCCACUUCUCGCUAUAUAUACAGGAGCCCUGGCGACAGCAGGGGCUUUUCUCAUCAGCUGCUCUGUCCCUUCUGACUCACGCCAUAUGAUCCUCCUCGUGUCUUCUUCGGCGUGAGAACCUGUAACUAGCCAGCCACUCUUACCAAACUUGGUUAAACAUGUAAAAAAAGAAAAUUUAAUAAAAAUCUCUACCACAUAAGAGCUUACAACCACGUCAGUCAACAAUAUAAGUUCCGGUAUCCUUCAAACCAUGGUCACAACAAAGAAAACAAUAACAAUCCAGAUUAGGUGAAAACAAUUACACUGAAUUCUUAAACGACGACGCUGUCAUGUUUAUAAAAAAAAUAGCAAUCGGCUUCUUUGUAUCUCGGGUUAUUAUUUAUUAUUGCUCAAUACUGGCAAGGACAUAUUUAAAAACAACUGUUGACGAAUGAAAUCAGGCGUCUUGUAGCGUAUCACUUAUCAGGAAAUGAAAGCAAGCCGAAAAGAAGGGAUUUCAUGUUAUGCGCAAAUCCUUCUGGAAAAAGACAUUGUUUAGAGGUCAGAAAUUUUAACUUCUAUCUCAGUGUUAUAAUAUUUCUCUACUUUUUAUAAAGGCAAGUGAGAAAUAUUCAUAUUAUUUUUAUCAAACUAAAAAUUUUGUGGGUGCGGCAUGUUUGUGGUUGCUCCAGCACUGGCACAUCCACGUAGUCGGCGCACAUGGUGUACAGUCAUUACUCUGGGGCAAUAGGUACUAUGUGUUCACGUGGCCCACUUGUAGCAGGCAUAGCGAUACGAAAGGGAUGUCCAUGGGUCAGGUUUGGAAAUUGGUGGUGUUAGUGUGAGGUGGUUGAAUUUGCAGGCUGUACGGCAUGGUUUAUAACAUUUUUCGAGUAAAUCAAUUAAAAUUUUUGAUUAAUAUUGAUCCUAACAAAGACUUUUAUUGCAAUUAACUUGUACCAAUGUAUUGUUUCACAAAAGAGAAGCAUGACAUAAAUGUUAUGAAUUAAUUUAUGUAUUCGAAACAUUAUGUCGUGGCUGUAUGGAUCUUCUUAGUUUCUCAGUACUUUCCUUUCGAAACACUUUCCCUUUGCCAAGGAACAAUUCCUGUAGUGUCAAAGUAUGUAGUGAAGUUCUGUCGAAUUGUGAAAGUGUUCCGUGAACUUCGUGUUACAUUUGAUUGUAAUAAUGCUCGAAAAACUCUAAAACGCGAAGCUAGUAUACCAAAACCGCACUCUGCCGUUCGGCGUGCUCUUGACGGUCUAUAGUUGAACAUUUUGUUUUCAUAAUUGUCAGCGACGCUUCGUUUUGGAUAAGGUCGCAUCAAAUUCUCACAUACAGGGAAUGCGUCAUCACCUACAAAUACGAAAGGCAUUGCCUCCUGUGUAGGAGGUAGUGCUGCAGGUGACGGAAGCUGUGAAGUGCGUUUCAUCAUUCUUUUCGCCAAGACGCUUGUAUUGAAAAUGCUUCCAUCACCGAACCUCCCUUGCGACCCAGCGUCAAUACAGGUCGAGUUUUCGAAAAUCCGAGACUUUUUUUUAAAAAAAAGGUUGCAAAGAUCUGCUUUCUUUUUUUACUGACAUGAUAAAUAAUGAGAACAUCAUUGCAAAAGAUAGAUAGGGAGAGUACAGCUCAGUGACAAAGCAGACAACAAUGCAAUCAACACCAACGAUUAGCUCGCUGCCUUGUUGCACGAACAUUUGUUGUCAGUAUGGCACGAAAUACCCCGACUGCUGCCGGCAGCUACCGAGUUCAUAGGCUGUUGUAGUUCCCAGUACCUGUACUGUACUGUACUGUGCAGUGUUGUGUGUCGUUUUGUUUGUUGACUGUGUACUCCGUUGUACUCCUUACAAAGAUGAGUGCUGUAAGAAAAAAAAAGAGGAAAUUUGUGCCUUUGCAUCUAAAAUUAGAAGCACUAAGGCGACUUGACAAAGGAGAAACAAAGUUGCUCUCGAAUAUGGUGUCGAUGAAGUUACUGUUGGUGACUGGCGAAGAAACCGACUUAAAUUGGAACAGUUUUCUUCACAGAAAUGCUCACACGAAUAUCUCAGUCUAAGAAGUAUAAAGAAGUCAGACUUCGUAAAAACAAGUGAGGCAUUGUUCAUGUGGUUUACCCAACAGAGACAGAAGGGUGCUCCGAUUUCUGGCCCAAUCUUGCAAGAAAAAGCUUUGUUUUUCAGAAACCAGGUACAGGAAGGAGAUUACAAUUUCGUCGCUAGUGUGGGCUCGCUCGCCAAGUGGAAGAAGAGGUAUGGAGUGCGUCAACUAGACGCAUGUGGAGAAAAACUCUCUGGUGACGCUCAGGACGUUUCAGAAUUUAUAGUAGAGUUUUUAAAAAAAUCGUAACUGACGAAAAUUUGUCUAAUGAACAAAUGUGUGACUGUGACGAAACUGGACUAAAUUUGAAAAUGUUACCGGCGAGAACACUUGCUUCUUGUGAAGAAAAAAGUGCUCCUGGGCACAAAAAAAAAGCAAGGGCGGCUCAUAGUUAUGGCAGUUUCAAAUGCAACUGGAAACCACAAACUAAAACUAGUGAUUGGGAAGUCUGCCAAGAGUAGCUCUACCGGUUGUCUAUACACAUCAGAAUAAUGCCUGGAUGAAUCAGGAAAUCUUCAAGAACUGGUUUUUUAAACUCAUUUGUACCUGAACGCAAGAAUUUUUUAAAAAAGGGGGCUGCCAUGCAAAGCAAUUUUGCUCAUGGAUAAUGCGUCCUCGCGUCCAAGUGCAAGAGAACUGCAGUACGACGGUAUCCGCGCCUUGUUUUUCCCACCAAACGUUACUUGUCUCAUUCAGCCCAUGGAUCAGGCCGUUCUGGAAUGUCAAAAAAAAAAAAAUCGACGGCGAUUGCUGCAGUCAUUUCUGCAUUAUGAAGACAACGAAAGCAUUGUAGGAGAUUUCAAGAAAAUGACUUUGAAGGACGUCGUGUACUGGAUUAGCGAAUCUUGGAGCGAAAUAAAGUCAGACACAAUUUCUAAGUCAUGGAGAAAAUUCUACAGGAAAGUAUGCCAGACACAGAAAUUGAAGAUUUAUCAGAGGAGGACGAUUAACCAUUGCGCAAUUUAAUCAGAAGAUUGUCAGGGUGUGAAGAGGCAGAAGAGGUGGAAGCAGGCGAGUGGUUAAAUUCGGACGAACAGUUGGAAGUGACAGACUUUUCUAUAAUUGACACGGUAAACAUUCCAUCGCAGUGUGAGAGUGACAAGGAUGACGUGGUAGAGGCUGCACCGAUGAUAAGUCACACCGAUGGCUACGCUGAUCUAGAGGCCGUCAUACGCCACGUGUAACAACAGCAUGAGGCGGCACCAAGUGACCUUCUCCUGAGACGUUGGCGUGACAUUGUUGUAUGAAUAAAAACGAGAACAUUCUCCAGAGUUGAUACUCAGAGCAAAAUAACAUUCUCAAAGAAAGUUCUCAGUUUAGUAUGAGUAAAAACUAGGAAACAUAUUCUCUGACCCUGGAGUACUUUCUCUCUACCUUUCCUCCUUAAGGUCAUUUCACACCGGCGUAGCGUAUCUCGAGCUACGUCUUCGGAAAGACGUCGCAGACGUAUCUUGUAAUGUAAUCAAAUGGGGCAUUUCAGACUGACGCAGAUGGCGUCGCGUCCAGCCGAGAUACGUAAUACGCGUAUCUCCAGCUACGCUUGCACACGUAGCGUCGCUGCGUAUCUCGGCUCGCGCAUGCGCACUACACUGCACUGCAAGCCACGUGCUCUUAUGCUGAGCAGCUCUAUUACUGCGUGUUUGUGUGUUUAUUAUGCAAAAUGUCUGCAUUAAUUGACCAAGUGCAAAAGUAUCCAGUGCUGUGGGACUACUCGAAAUUGGAAUAUAGAGAUGCUAACUUGCGUGACUUAGCUUGGGAAGAAAUUUCGCAAGUUUUAAGGAAGCCAAAGGCUGUUGUAAAAACGGACUGGAAAAAUUUGAGAGAUGCCCAUAGGAAUGCCCUCAAAAGAAGAGAGACAAAAGUGGUCAAGCUGCAGCAAACUCAAAAAAGUGGAAGUACGAGAAAGAAAUGGAAUUUUUACUUUCCGUAUUGCCAGCUCACAGCCUACACGACAGUAAUAUUCCUGAUAUAGAUGACACGCAAGUUCCUGAAAAUCAAAUAAACGAUGAUAGCAUUGUUAAUGCUGAAGCUCCUACUGCUCCUGAUGAUGAUGAAUUUUCCAACUCUGAUCACGAUGUCCGGAACAAACCCAAAGGAGUCGACAAAAUUCUGAAUUUUCUGAAAAAUAAAGAGAUAAACAAACCUGUUCGCUCUGUCCCUGACGAAUUAGAUUUGUUUUUUGGUAGCAUAUCAAUGUCGGUAAAAAAAUUUGCCUCGAAGGUUACAAAACAGAGUAAAGAGAGAAGUUUUAGAGGCAGUAAGCCGAGCUGAAGAUGAACAUGAUUCACUGAUGAGUCUAAUAACACCGGCAGUGCGUCAAACUAGCUCUCCACUGGUGUCUCCAAGUACCUCCUCUGACAGCUCAACAUGGUCAGGUGGUAAAUAUUCAAACCAGCCCACGAUCCUUCACCAUCAAAAUGAAACAUCACUUACAGAAAGUGGCUCAUUACUUCGAUCACUGCAAGAAGAUACAGAUGUUGAUUUGUUAGCGGAAAACUAUUCAGGAAAAGCAACUGAAGACAAUCUUCAAAUACUUUAAGGACAAACCUCAUUAACUUUAAACUCAAACAAAAUAUAUCUCAUGCUGAUUUCUUUUUGUGGCUGUGGCUGGUUAAUAUAUGUCUAUCAUCUUUUACAUUUUGUCUUAUCAUGGCAGCUAACAAAUAUACUUGUGUAAUAUUACUGUAAUGAAGAUAUAUUUUUACUCCAUUUCCUACAACCUUAUACUAACAGGCUACGUUUCUAUUUUGACAUUAUGGGAAAGGAAUUGUUACCUUAGACAAAUAGCUAGCCGUUCCUCAGGAGGUAUUGAUUUUCUGUAAUUUGUGUCCUGUUUCUUAAUGUCACUGCCAAUGAGGGAUAAAACUUCAUGGAACUGGUCUUCAUUAAGGCUGAAGUAACUUCUAAACUUUUCAUCGUCAAGCUGUAAAUCUUGCAUUAGGUGGUGGUAUUCGCCAUACACUGUUGUUCUAACAUUUAUCGGAUGAACCCAAUUCGAUUUAUUUGACACUGAAUACAACAACAACAGUUCAUCAUCACUAUCGCUACUUGAACUACAGUCCAUCCACGGCACACUGAAGUUGAUGUCUGGCUCACACCACGGCACACUGAACGUCAUUUCUGGUACCAUGCACAAACUGUACUCACGUUAGCACACCAUCUCAACAACUGAGCAAAUACGAAGAUGGGAUAGAAAACGUAGCUCAUAAUACGUAGCUUUCGGUUUGAAGGGUACGUAUCUCUAGUCAGGAUACGUGCUACGUCCUGCGACGUCUUCCGAAGACAUAGCGCGAGAUACGCUACGCCGGUGUGAAAUGACCUUUACAGAGUAAGUUCUCAGUAAAGAGAUUAAAAUCCAUCUUUGGCUCUCAGUUUGUUUCGUUUGCGUGUGUUUUGUGAUACCGAAAGUUUUUCUGCGCCGAAAUGGAAGACUCAAAAUUAGCCUUUGUCAACAUUAUUAAAGAUUACCCCACAAUCAUCAGUAAAUCGCAAACUCCGGCCGCAAGAAGAGAGAAGGCGGAUUGUAUUAAAUACAGCACAGUUAUAUGGUUAGUUCCGGGAAAGAAAUUACGGACAAGCAGAUAAUGAAGAAACCGCACAACAUGAA